rnacentral:lncRNA from 1 species
CUGUCUUCUAAAACUAAGAUUGUAGCAAUGGAAGCCUUUAUUUUCACCUUCACACAUUUAGAACGCAAAAAUUCUAAAGAAGCAGUCAUGCAGAUGGUGGCUGUCACUGCCUACACCACCAUGGAAAUGGGUUCUCCCUGCAGACAGGCACAGUACUUCACAGCACUCAUUUGCAUAAAGAGCCUCUCUGGAAGCCGGCAGGCACUCCCCCUCAUCAACGUGCACCUGGCCAGUUCCUCCUGUCCCAGCGUGGAGGUUCUGAGACGAGCCCACCACGGAUCCUGGCACAACCCGGUGACCCACUUACCCAGGACCUGCAGCGCCUGCGGCGGCUGCCUCCCAGGAAGGGCUUCGCCCAGACCACGGGGCAGGCGGCUCGAAGGACUGAAGCUCGUGGGAGGACAGGCUCACCGCGCUCACCGGUGUCUAACCCGCCCGCGAGGGUUUGCUAACCACUGAUUCUUUAGGGCACACAGCUGGGCGCUUUUAUCCUUAAUUCCUUCCGGCAGGCCCUCGUUCUUAGAAGAUCUAGUAAACUUCUCCAUGCUUGUCUUUUUUCAGAAUCAGCUUUGCAGAGAGCACAGAUUGCAACACAAUGCAUUAGUAAACUGCAUUAUAAUUUACUCCUUUGCUUUUCCUAAUUCUGUGCUCUUGAGUCUAUGUGUUUUUGGUUCUCAUGGAAUAUUGAGUAUCUAUUAAUGCCUCAAUAAAAUGUACUUCUUCCUAUGUCUAGCAUGUAAUGCCUCCAUAAUGUGUAAGAUGGGACCGAGCAAGAGGAAGGUAGCAAGUAUUUCAAACACCCUCUGAGACUGAAAUUGUCCACCUUGUGUUUGACAUUGUACGAUGCUGUACAAGUGUACCUG